CACCACGGCCGGCCGGGCCCCGAGCGUCUGCGGCCGACAGCCAGCCACACCGCCAGCAAGGGCAGCCGGGUGUACGACGUGAUGCUGGACUGCUGGCGUCUGGAGCCGGCCGAGCGACCCUCGUUUGGCCGCCUGAUGCAGCGGCUGGACGUGGUGCUGGCGGCGCUGACGCCCAUGGAGUACGUGGCCAUGGUCUCGCCCCAGCCGCACGUCGAGUACACGAAGGUGGAGGUGCCGUCUGCGUCGCCCUCCGCGUCGGCCUUGCCCUCGCCGCCGGGCAGCUCAGGCUGAGGGCGUCGACCGGGGGAUCAGCGAGUCUGCAGGGACCUGGACUCGUGCCCUAUGACGUCAGCGGACUUCCGUGAAGUCCGUGUCAAAGAAGUGCUCAGGUUUGUUUUUAACAGUGUUCCUCACCGGACUUCCAGUGUUCCUCGCCGGGCUUUUAGUUGAUCCUGAUCCGGGCUUUUAGUUGACAGUGCGGCGCCUCGCUAGGACAGUGUGGCGCCUCGCUAGGACAGUGCGGCGCCUCGCUAGUAAAGUGCGGCGCUUCGCUAGGACAGUAUCGUGUCUCGCUAGAACAGUGCGGCGCCUCGCUAGGACAGUGCGGUGUCUCGCUAGGACAGUGCGGUGCCUCGCUAGAACAGUGCGGCGCCUCGCUAGGACAGUGCGGUGUCUCGCUAGGACAGUGCGGCGCCUCGCUAGAACAGUGCGGCGCCUCGCUAGGACAGUGCGGCGCCUCGUUGGGAAGAAAUGCGGUGUGAUAUUUCUGCUUGGAUUGAACAGAAUGCAGUGUGGGUUGACCUAAGCCGCUCAACUCAUGUUUAAGGUCGUGGUUUUUUUUCCUUGUUUGUUUUUACAAGCGGUCUGCACUGGAGUUUGAGUUUCUCUUGAUAUGGGUGUUGGAGAUCUCCGGUGUGGUGCCUCGCGAGGGUCGUCUCCCGAGGCCUGGGGUGUGGUGGUUCUGCUUUGAUUUAACGGAUUAGCGGAUAGUGCAGGUUGGCGGAAUAGCUCGUCUUUCAUGUGAGGUUGUGCUUGUAUAGUCCACACCCCUUCGAAGUUUGUGAGCGCAUUUCCAUUGUACGGGUACAUGUGACGUACCAAGCAAAACCUCUCGAAGCUUGUGAGCGCAUUCCUAUUGUACGGGUACAUGUGACAUGCGAAGCCAGAGCAUGGUUAAGGUAGCCCAUUAAGAAGGCCUUUUUUAUUUGAAGUGUUUUCGUUACAAUUGUUUUGCGUAACGAAGUCAAGCUUGUCAAGCAAAAUGUUUGUUUCGCUACAAGGUUAUAACCUAGAUGGUAUCUGGAACAGAUUCAGUGGCAUAGUUGCUUUGACGGGUUUCAUUGCAGUAGAGACUCCUUACGUUACGAUCAUAUCAAGGACCGGGUAUUUUUGGUGCAGCUGUGAUGUUUCUGCUGUGAUUUUUGCCGGCGCCUGAGUGUUUGGACUGCGGUGUACCUUGUGGUUGAAGCGACUCCGUAGUGAAUAUAUAUGCAUUCACC